ACUAUCGUGUUUUGGACAUGACAGCUGUGAAGGAUUGACGCAAACACCACUGGCUUUGUCCCCUGAGCAGGUCACUGCUCCCCACUCUUAUCCCAGAACAGCAACUCAGCCAUUGCCAGAGUGACUGGGGCAGCGGAGCCAUGAAGGGGAGGUUCAGUUGAAUAUCAUCCUGCCCAGCCCAGCUCCAUUUGUGCCUCAUGCUGGCUCCUGGCUUUGGUGGGACUAUCAACCUGAGAGAAGGGAAGGGACUCAGCAGUGUGGGACCCCAGGGACUGCUCAGCAGCUGUGGAGGUGCAGGAGUUGGCCCUUACAAUGGACGUUCCUCAAGGUCGGGAUUCCAGAAACAGCUCCAGGAACAGAUCGGGUGGUAAUUGAUUGCUCAAUGAUUCAGUGAUUACUCAGUUUUUGCUCCAUCCACUUCUCAGUAUUGCAUUGUUUGGCAAAAUAUCAGCCUGACUUUGUCCUGACAUUGGCACCACGCAGUACAAGAAGAGCUGAAGUUUGAAGAGACUGUGUCAUAUCUAAGAUGGAAGAAAAAAUGUUAUGAUUAUGGGAGAGUUUGCAUGACUGUGUCCCUGGAAGCACCUCACUCCCAAAACUCUGCUCCAGCCCUACCCUGCACCACGUCCAACCCUUGCUAUAUCUAAAAGUGCAGAAAUGAAACCACUAAAAUGAAACAUCUUAUGGCAGAAGGGCUCAGAUCAUCUGUAGCAGUGGGCAAGGGGACUGUGGAAAAUGGUAUCUGUCUGGACUUCAGUAAGACCUUCGAGACAGUCCCCCACAAUAUCCUUCUGUCUUAAUUGGAAAGAUGGACUGGUUGGAUGGACUGCUCAGUGCAUGAGGAAUUGGUUGGAUGGUCAGAGAGAGUGGUGGUCAGUGGCUCAAUGUUCAGAUGGAGAUCAGUGACAAGUGGUGCCCCUCAGGGGUCUGUAUGGGGCCGGUGCCAUCAAAUAUCUUCAUCAGUGACACAGACUUUGGAUUGAGGGUGCUUCCAGCAGAUGACACCAAGCAGUUGUGGGGUCAGCCACCAAGGGGUGCAGGUGACACACCUGAAGGAAGCUGGAAGAGCUUCUGAGGGCACACCCAAGGAGCUGGAAAUGCAGUUCCCACUCUCCACGGAGCCCAGGGCAUGGCAGGAACAGCUCUCUCUGACACGGCACUUCUGUCUGCCAUGAGACUGAACGUGGGACUGAUCCUGUCCAGAGCAAGGAGCAGGGGGAGAGCAGGGAGAAACAUUCAGGGGAGAUGACUCAGAAGGCUCAGCUGGAGGAUGAAGAGGGAUGCACACACAUUCAGGGCCAUCAGCAGCUCCUGGCCAUGGUGAGGGUGUAACAAAAUAGGUGCCAUCUGCUUCAGCUGGAGCAUCACACAAAAGCACAGGCAGUGAAGAGCCUCUAGCUUAGACCCUGUUGGCACGCAGAACAAAUUCCACUAUCGCUACAAAAUAGCCCAAGGCACAGAAGAGGAGUGGCCACAGUGUGCAUUCAGGGUCUGCUGUCCCUGCUCCUGCCCCACUUCCAAGUUGUCCCGUGGAGAGGAGGAAGAACAGCCCUGAAAGGUUCGUAGUGAUUCAAAGCAGCGCUGAGUGGGAUUUGGCAGCGAGCUUGGGAUGGGCAGCAGCUCAAUCCAUCACCCAUUCUGCAGGAAAGGACCUGGAUGCUGCUGCAAAUCUUCAGGGGAAUCAGAGUAAGAAAUGCUGUGAUUGUGCAGAAGAGGUAAAUGUCAUGGCACGAGAAAUAACAGUAACAGAAAUAACUGUGUGGGCUGCACAGCCCCGGCCUGUGACGCUUCAGGGGAGAUUUGAGCUGCUUGGAGAGGGCUCAGGGGGAGCACCAGGAGGGAUCAGAUGGUGCAAGAGUGCAAGCUGUGAGCGAAGGCUGAAAAAGGGCUGAUUCACCCCAGGAAACUGAAGCAACACACUCUGGUUUUGCACAAGGCUGAAGGCAGGACUGGGCAAGAAGCAAUGGGGUUAUACUGUGGUGGAGAAAUUCAGGUUCUACCUGAAGAAAAACUGAGUAAGGAUUGUGAAGCCUUACUUCCAGGGAGAGCAGUGCAGGUGUGACCAGGAGGAGAAGAACAUCCCUUGGGCACCAGGGCAGAUUGGACAGGCUCAACACUCUGCUCCUGCCUGGGACAUGCCACAGAGUCACCUAACCCUCCAUGGCCUGACAGGGCUUGCUGGGCUGUUCAUCACUUAUGGAACCAGCAGCUUCUCAAACCUCUUGGAGAUGGUGGCAAUUCUGAGAAUUUGUGGGGAAAAGCCUUCUGCAGAAUGGGAAAGCAGCAGUUCUUUGAGUUGAGCUUGUGACAGGACAGAAAAGCUGAUAUUACAGAGUCAAGACAAUGUAAGUUUGGCUGAAAGCCCAUCCUGUAAAUUGGUAAUUCUGAUAACAGCAAUUGGAAGAAAAAUGACACUAAAUAUGAUGAGGAAGAAAGGAAUAGAUACUGAUCAACAUGCAACAACCACAUCAAGCUAUGGAGCAGGGCUGUUGAUAGAGGAGGGUAAAUGGACAGAGGAAAAUCCAUGUCUGGCAAAGCCGCAACCAGUAAAGAGUUGUUUACUAAAUAUAUUAGAAAUAAA
rnacentral:lncRNA from 1 species